UUGCUCUUCUGGAUGAGUUGCGAACGGGUGAGUAACGCGUAGGUAACCUGCCUGGUAGCGGGGGAUAACUAUUGGAAACGAUAGCUAAUACCGCAUAACAGUAGAUGUUGCAUGACAUUUGCUUAAAAGGUGCAAUUGCACCACUACCAGAUGGACCUGCGUUGUAUUAGCUAGUUGGUGGGGUAACGGCUCACCAAGGCGACGAUACAUAGCCGACCUGAGAGGGUGAUCGGCCACACUGGGACUGAGACACGGCCCAGACUCCUACGGGAGGCAGCAGUAGGGAAUCUUCGGCAAUGGACGGAAGUCUGACCGAGCAACGCCGCGUGAGUGAAGAAGGUUUUCGGAUCGUAAAGCUCUGUUGUAAGAGAAGAACGAGUGUGAGAGUGGAAAGUUCACACUGUGACGGUAGCUUACCAGAAAGGGACGGCUAACUACGUGCCAGCAGCCGCGGUAAUACGUAGGUCCCGAGCGUUGUCCGGAUUUAUUGGGCGUAAAGCGAGCGCAGGCGGUUAGAUAAGUCUGAAGUUAAAGGCUGUGGCUUAACCAUAGUACGCUUUGGAAACUGUUUAACUUGAGUGCAAGAGGGGAGAGUGGAAUUCCAUGUGUAGCGGUGAAAUGCGUAGAUAUAUGGAGGAACACCGGUGGCGAAAGCGGCUCUCUGG
rnacentral:rRNA from 1 species